rnacentral:rRNA from 1 species
AGUGAACGCUGGCGGUAGGCCUAACACAUGCAAGUCGAACGGCAGCACAGUAAGAGCUUGCUCUUACGGGUGGCGAGUGGCGGACGGGUGAGGAAUACAUCGGAAUCUACUUUUUCGUGGGGGAUAACGUAGGGAAACUUCCGCUAAUACCUCAUACAACCUACGGGUGAAAGCAGGGGAUCUUCGGACCUUGCCCGAUUGAAUGAGCCGAUGUCGGAUUAGCUAGUUGGCGGGGUAAAGGCCCACCAAGGCGACGAUCCGUAGCUGGUCUGAGAGGAUGAUCAGCCACACUGGAACUGAGACACGGUCCAGACUCCUACGGGAGGCAGCAGUGGGGAAUAUUGGACAAUGGGCGCAAGCCUGAUCCAGCCAUACCGCGUGAGUGAUGAAGGCCUUCGGGUUGUAAAGCCCUUUUGUUAGGAAAGAAAAGCAGCAGGUUAAUACCCCGCUGUUCUGACGGUACCCAAAGAAUAAGCACCGGCUAACUACGUG